GAUGAACGCUGGCGGCGUGCUUAACACAUGCAAGUCGAACGAACCUUCGGGUUAGUGGCGGACGGGUGAGUAACGCGUGAGAAUCUGCCCUCAGGAGGGGGAUAACGGCUGGAAACGGCCGCUAAUACCCCAUAUGCCGAGAGGUGAAAUGAAUUUCGCCUGAGGAUGAGCUCGCGUCUGAUUAGCUAGUUGGUGUGGUAAAGGCUCACCAAGGCAUCGAUCAGUAGCUGGUCUGAGAGGAUGAUCAGCCACACUGGGACUGAGACACGGCCCAGACUCCUACGGGAGGCAGCAGUGGGGAAUUUUCCGCAAUGGGCGCAAGCCUGACGGAGCAACGCCGCGUGAGGGAUGAAGGCCUCUGGGCUGUAAACCUCUUUUAUCAAGGAAGAAGAUCUGACGGUACUUGAUGAAUAAGCCACGGCUAAUUCCGUGCCAGCAGCCGCGGUAAUACGGGAGUGGCAAGCGUUAUCCGGAAUUAUUGGGCGUAAAGCGUCCGCAGGCGGUCUUGAAAGUCUGUUGUUAAAGCGUGGAGCUCAACUCCAUUUCAGCAAUGGAAACUAGAAGACUAGAGUGUGGUAGGGGCAGAGG
rnacentral:rRNA from 1 species